GUUCAUCCGUCGCACGUCAGUUUUCCGUCGAUAGCCAAAGCCCAGCGUGCGUCAGAUCGCUUACCUCGUUCAAUUGCACACCAGAACAGUGUCGGUUGUUACCGAUUCGUGGUUAGUUCCGCCUGAUUCUUCUGUUUGGGGAACAUGUGGCGGUGAAGGGAGUUUUCGAGCAGAGUAAGGAUAAUGACAGACUGGCGCAUGACAAGAGAGAUCCGUGACCUGGCCAUUAGGACGAUUCAGUGCUUCCACAUCUAGUUUCAUGUUUUGAAAUCUGGUUUAGGAGUUAGGCAUUUCACACUUUCAUGCAAAAUACAUCAAUUUUAUUAUUUAACUAUUUAAUUUCCUUCAUUUUUAAAGUAGGGAUUAGGGGUACCCCGAAUAGUAAAUUAUUUUAUUUUAUUUUUCUUUAGUUUAUUUAUUAUUAUUUAA